rnacentral:misc_RNA from 1 species
GCCGGUUAGAACUUUUGCUAUUGAUCGUCUCUGCAUCAUGGCCUGCUUGUCAUUGUUUUUCAUUCUUGGCCUUCACCGGCCUUUUUGCUGGAAAGUGCAAUCUGGCAAUAACAGAGAUGAUCAUGGCCUGCNNNNNNUGCUGUCUAUUAUUUGUCUUCGCUAGCUUACUUGCUGGGAAGUGCAAUCUGGCAAUAAGAGGUUUGGGCGCUCUUGUUCUUUGGUCAAACCCUCGCACACAAACAAAUCCUUUCCAAAAGCAGUACUGAAUUCCUCCAGUUGAAAGUCCUUUAAAGAUACAGAGGUUCCAAAGUACACUAUUCGUCUUGGCAAAUUCCAUAUCCAUGCUCUUGGAACAUCGAUUGGGUUGAGGCUAGAUUCAUGAUCUGCAAA